UGGACCCAGGUGACCCUGCCCUGUUACACCUGUGGCCAAUGCCAGGCAUGGAGGGGAGUGCUAAAGGUUGAGAACUAGCCCAGUUUGGGGUUGAUGAAGGAGGACAGAACUCUCCUUGGUGGGAGAAAAGCCUCAUUACAGCCCUGAUACAGCACUUGCUUACCAGCUGCAUCAGCCCUCCUGGAAGGGAUGACCAAACCCUGGGGGGAAACAAUUGUCAGAAACAUGGAUGGUUUGAAAGACAAGCCCUGAAUAGAAGGGUGGUGCACCCUAAAGACUCCUGGGAUGACCCUGUUUUUGAGUUGUGUUUGGUUUGUUCCCGAUUACUGUAGAACCUUAAAACCCCUAAACAGGUAUGACUGAAGGGGGCUUUGCCUGGAGAGCUAAAGCAUCUUUGCUCUGGACCUCACAGAGAAGAGACAUAGCCAUGAAGACUUGCAGUUGGCAUGGCCUUCAAGCAAACAACUGAGAAAAAGACAAUGUUGACUCUGUAUUCAAGGCCAACAGAAACUUGGUCUCUGUCAGAUCAAGCCAGCAGAGCAAAUUACUUAAUGGAGGAAGCUGCACUGAGAAUACCCUGUCACCAGCCCAACAACACUGAAAACCAGAGACCAUUGGAGCAAGCAGAACAUUGCCAUGGAGCAUUAGAGGCUGAGUGGUGAUGGACUCAGAUAGCUCAAGAGGGCUGUAUAAACCAAAACAAACACCUUGAAUCGCAACCAGAAGUGAAUAUGAAGCCCAUGCAUUGUC